GAACGCUAGCUACAGGCUUAACACAUGCAAGUCGAGGGGCAGCAUCAUCAAAGCUUGCUUUGAUGGAUGGCGACCGGCGCACGGGUGAGUAACACGUAUCCAACCUGCCGACAACACUGGGAUAGCCUUUCGAAAGAAAGAUUAAUACCGGAUGGCAUAGUCUUCCCGCAUGGGAUUAUUAUUAAAGAAUUUCGGUUGUCGAUGGGGAUGCGUUCCAUUAGGCAGUUGGCGGGGUAACGGCCCACCAAACCUACGAUGGAUAGGGGUUCUGAGAGGAAGGUCCCCCACAUUGGAACUGAGACACGGUCCAAACUCCUACGGGAGGCAGCAGUGAGGAAUAUUGGUCAAUGGACGAGAGUCUGAACCAGCCAAGUAGCGUGAAGGAUGACUGCCCUAUGGGUUGUAAACUUCUUUUAUACGGGAAUAAAGUGAGCCACGUGUGGCUUUUUGUAUGUACCGUAUGAAUAAGGAUCGGCUAACUCCGUGCCAGCAGCCGCGGUAAUACGGAGGAUCCGAGCGUUAUCCGGAUUUAUUGGGUUUAAAGGGAGCGUAGGCGGGUUGUUAAGUCAGUUGUGAAAGUUUGCGGCUCAACCGUAAAAUUGCAGUUGAUACUGGCGACCUUGAGUGCAACAGAGGUAGGCGGAAUUCGUGGUGUAGCGGUGAAAUGCUUAGAUAUCACGAAGAACUCCGAUUGCGAAGGCAGCUUACUGGAUUGUAACUGACGCUGAUGCUCGAAAGUGUGGGUAUCAAACAGGAUUAGAUACCCUGGUAGUCCACACAGUAAACGAUGAAUACUCGCUGUUGGCGAUAUACAGUCAGCGGCCAAGCGAAAGCAUUAAGUAUUCCACCUGGGGAGUACGCCGGCAACGGUGAAACUCAAAGGAAUUGACGGGGGCCCGCACAAGCGGAGGAACAUGUGGUUUAAUUCGAUGAUACGCGAGGAACCUUACCCGGGCUUAAAUUGCAACUGACUGAACCGGAAACGGUUCUUUCUUCGGACAGUUGUGAAGGUGCUGCAUGGUUGCCGUCAGCUCGUGCCGUGAGGUGUCGGCUUAAGUGCCAUAACGAGCGCAACCCUUACGGGUAGUUACCAUCAGGUUAUGCUGGGGACUCUACCCGGACUGCCGUCGUAAGAUGUGAGGAAGGUGGGGAUGACGUCAAAUCAGCACGGCCCUUACGUCCGGGGCUACACACGUGUUACAAUGGGGGGUACAGAAGGCAGCUACACGGCGACGUGGUGCUAAUCCCGAAAGCCUCUCUCAGUUCGGAUUGGAGUCGGCAACCCGACUCCAUGAAGCUGGAUUCGCUAGUAAUCGCGCAUCAGCCACGGCGCGGUGAAUACGUUCCCGGGCCUUGUACACACCGCCCGUCAAGCCAUGAAAGCCGGGGGUACCUGAAGUACGUAACCGCGGGGAGCGUCCUAGGGUAAAACUGGUG
rnacentral:rRNA from 1 species